rnacentral:rRNA from 1 species
UGGGUCCAACCUCCCACCCGUGUCUAUCGUACCUUGUUGCUUCGGCGGGCCCGCCGUUUCGACGGCCGCCGGGGAGGCCUUGCGCCCCCGGGCCCGCGCCCGCCGAAGACCCCAACAUGAACGCUGUUCUGAAAGUAUGCAGUCUGAGUUGAUUAUCGUAAUCAGUUAAAACUUUCAACAACGGAUCUCUUGGUUCCGGCAUCGAUGAAGAACGCAGCGAAAUGCGAUAAGUAAUGUGAAUUGCAGAAUUCAGUGAAUCAUCGAGUCUUUGAACGCACAUUGCGCCCCCUGGUAUUCCGGGGGGCAUGCCUGUCCGAGCGUCAUUGCUGCCCUCAAGCACGGCUUGUGUGUUGGGCCCCCGUCCCCCUCUCCCGGGGGACGGGCCCGAAAGGCAGCGGCGGCACCGCGUCCGGUCCUCGAGCGUAUGGGGCUUUGUCACCUGCUCUGUAGGCCCGGCCGGCGCCAGCCGACACCCAACUUUAUUUUUCUAAGGUUGACCUCGGAUCAGGUAGGGAUACCCGCUGAACUUAAGCAUAUCAAUAAGCGGAGGAA